CCCGGACAGUUGAGUUUGUAAGAUGAAAUUAUUCCUAAUGAGCUCCACUUUAGGCAUAGUGUUACUAAAUUUCCCAAUGAGGGUAUAUUUGCAGGUGGUUGCUAAAUCUUUCAUGACCUCUUCUUUCACAUACAACACUGCAGGCAGACCCUAUUUAGUCGUAGUUUCAGGUGCUGUCAAUGUAAUGGAAACAUCACAUUUGGCCUGAUUAUACCUAAGUCUAUCAGCAUAAGUCUGUACAAUAGUAUAAGGUGCAGGAGCAGCUAAU
rnacentral:lncRNA from 1 species